CGGACGGGUGAGUAACACGUGGGUAACCUACCUAUAAGACUGGGACAACUUCGGGAAACCGGAGCUAAUACCGGAUAAGAUAUCGAACCGCAUGGUUCGAUAGUGAAAGAUGGUUUUGCUAUCACUUAUAGAUGGACCCGCGCCGUAUUAGCUAGUUGGCGAGGUAACGGCUCACCAAGGCAACGAUACGUAGCCGACCUGAGAGGGUGAUCGGCCACACUGGAACUGAGACACGGUCCAGACUCCUACGGGAGGCAGCAGCA
rnacentral:rRNA from 1 species